CCUUAAUCUACUGAAAUUGCAUAGGAGCCCCUUCAUUUAAAAUUUACAAACUGACCCUUACUACAUAAUUAUAGCCGGGGUCAUCAAUAUUAACUUCUUGCAAAAUGACCCUUAUUUAAAAUUUGCAAGUUGAUCCUCCCUUUUAGUUAUAGGCAACCCCCUUGAAUUUCAGAAAUUACAAAUCAAGCCCCCUUCUCCAAACUCUGUUUCACCUGAUUACAGAAACCCUAAGAAAUUCUUCUCCCUUUCAUUUAGCGGCGCCGACGACUUCAUUCGCGUUGUGAGACACCACUUGAGAGGCUGCAUCUCGUCGCUCGACCUUCGGGCUCCAAGAGUGGUGCGUUGCAGCAGUGCGAGGUUGCCCUGUACCUCGCACUGCUGCUAUUGCAGCGGCAUGGUGCCGCUGCAGAUACGCAGGUAGCACGAGGUCGCCCUGCGCCUCGCGCUGCUGCUGUUGCAGCGGGAUGAUAGCGCCCACCGCCGCUGCGGUAAGCGCGGCAGCACACUGCUGUGCGUGAGUCGUCGUCGCCGCCCCUUCCGACCUUUUUUUUAUUUCCAAAACUAGAUUUCAAAAAUAUGAAAAUCGAAUUUUCAUUAAUUG
rnacentral:lncRNA from 1 species